CCUCAGUCUGCUUCCUGCACUGGAGGAGAGGGAGUUCCUACAUAGGGUCCUCAUUGCUGUUUUGGAAAUUUGGUAGAAUAGAAAAGGCUUCUAAUGAAUGGAGAAGAUCCCAAAGCCCCUUGAAAUGGGUGACCAGCUGCACACUCUUGGAGCACCAGGGUGAAGGACCAGGAGUUGCACAAAGAACUCAGUAGAAUUGGAUUGAGAGACUCAGUCCUUCUUCCAAGAAGUAUUUAUUGAGCAGCUACUCUGUGCUGGGCAUUGUGCCUGGCACUGGACAGAAAAUGAUGUAACAGACAGUCAAAGUCAUUGCCCUUAAGGAACCUGCAGUCUUGCAGGAGGGAGGGAAAGAUGAUUGAGACCUAUACAAAUAGCAGAAUAGUUAUGAUUAAAGCAAUAAAGGAAAUAGAGCAAUGUAAAUAGAGAAUAACAGGAUAGGACCCUUGUCCUAAAAUCGUUCUGAGGAUACUUAAAGGCUAACGGGAAGAAUGCUUUAGGCAGAGUAAACAGGGAAAGUCCUGGAACCCAGGUCCAAAGGCCAGACACAACAGGGGUGAGGGAGAGACAGGGCCAGGUACUACAGGACCUCAGGGGCCACAGCAAGGAACCUAUUUAUUCUCAACAUAGCAUAAAAUGAUCAUGUGUUCAGCUGGGGGAUGGAAACUGAUUCAAGGAUGUCUGCGCCUUCCCUGUAACAAAUGACUCAGGUGGAGCUAGAGACUGGAGCCUGGUGAGAGGACACUGAGUAAGAGGGCGGCAGAGAAGAUGAAGAGAAGUCGGUGGACAUGAAACAGGUUUUGGAGACAGAAUUGAUGGGAUCCAGUGAUGGUUGGAUCCAAGGGUGAAGGAGAAGGGGCAGGAGGCCAAGAAUGACUUUUGGCUUCAGUAACCAGACCUACAGUGGUUUCACUCACUGAGGAACACCAGGCCAGGGACGGCAGCAGAAUGAAGAGCUCCACCUGCAUAUUAUUAAUAAGUUGAGAUGCCAUCAGACCUUGAAGCAGAAAUGGCUGGUUGAGAUGGACUUGAAGGCUGGAGUGGAUCAAGGUGGAUGGAGAGAGGAGAAAAUGGCCUAGAGGAAAGAAAGCAUGUGAAGAGAGACUCAGGGUUAAUAGUGAGUUUUGCACAAGGGCUUUUGCACACUGAACAGAACUCACAGAACCCAAAGGCCCAAUAACUCAGGAUUUCAGGCACCAUCUGGUCACCCAGCAGACUGUCUCCCUCUCUCAAGAACUGGACAGUGACAAUGUGUUGGCGAGAAAAAGAACAAGAACGGGAAUAAGAAUGGAGUGGACUGACACGAAAUGCCAUUGGGAGAAGUAUCCCUGGGAGAUGUGGCCAAACCUCCUUAUAAGGUUGAUUAACCAAAUCUGAAUAGUGAUAGGUAACAUGUCCUCAAUAGCUAAAUCAUACUUCCAUAGCUGCCCAUCAGCAGUAAACCAGAAAAGGAUGGGUCACACUUUCCUGAAGCCCAGAUCUGUAGAAUCAUGAACCGUCUACACUGUUUCUUCUGCCCAACAAUCCCCCAGGGGAAGAACCCCACCCACAGCCUCUGAUGAUGAGCUACCUGAAAUGCAGGGCUCCCCACCUUCCAGGACAGAUGAAUUCCACUGUGGAAACACCAGGACUAGAGAAAUCUUCAUAUUAACCGACACCCGCUCCUGACUUGCCACCUGGUAACUAUUUAAAGUCUGUUCCUUCCACCACAUAAUGGCCUCUGAAGAAUUGAAGGUGUACCCCCACAGCCCUGUGAGCGUUCUCUAGUGUGUCUUCACUUCUUUUGGGUGCUGCCUCAUAUGACAUGUGUUUUGGCCCUUCAUUCUAGUUCAUCCAAAUGAACCCAGGCCUCCAAGUAUGGCCACCACUCCCAGUCCUCUGGACAC
ensembl:lncRNA